rnacentral:rRNA from 2 species
GAGUUUGAUCAUGGCUCAGGACGAACGCUGGCGGCGUGCCUAACACAUGCAAGUCUAACGGGAAAGUCUCCUUCGGGAGACCAGUACAGUGGCGGACGGGUGAGUAACGCGUGGGAAUCUACCCGGUAGUGGGGGAUAACCCCUCGAAAGGGGGGCUAAUACCGCAUAAGUCCUACGGGGUAAAGAUGGCCUCUUUACAAUGCUAUCGCUUCCGGAUGAGCCCGCGUCCUAUUAGCUAGUUGGUGAGGUAAUGGCUCACCAAGGCGACAAUGGGUAGCCGGUCUGAGAGGAUGAACGGCCACACUGGGACUGAGACACGGCCCAGACUCCUACGGGAGGCAGCAGUGGGGAAUUUUGCGCAAUGGGGGAAACCCUGACGCAGCAACGCCGCGUGGACGAUGAAGGCCUUCGGGUCGUAAAGUCCUGUUCUGGGGGAAGAAACGGCAGAAAGCUAAUACCUUUCUACCCUGACGGUACCCCAGCAGAAAGCUCCGGCCAAUUAUGUGCCAGCAGCCGCGGUAAUACAUAAGGAGCAAGCGUUGUCCGGAAUCAUUGGGCGUAAAGCGCUCGUAGGCGGUCCAGAAAGUCAGCUGUGAAAGCACCA